rnacentral:tRNA from 1 species
GCGGGGAUGGCUCAGCAGUUAAGAGCACUAGCUGCUUCUUCCAGAGAACCCAGGUUCGAUUCCCGGUACCCACA